GAGGGUACAGCUCAGUGGUAGAGAGCAUGCUUAGCAUGCAAGAGGUCCUGGGUUCAAUCCCCAGUACCAUCA
rnacentral:tRNA from 1 species